UGCAGGCUGAGAGGCUGUCAGUUUGUGGGGGUGAAGUAGUUGGGACUCUGCAGACUGCAGCAUCUUGCACUGCA
ensembl:miRNA gga-mir-1642 gga-mir-1642